GCCGCGGUAGUUUAAAUAAAAACAUUAGCCUGUGGUGCUAAAAAUGAAAUACGAUCCCGCAGCU
rnacentral:tRNA from 1 species